AACGAACGCUGGCGGCAGGCUUAACACAUGCAAGUCGAACGCGUGUAGCAAUACACGAGUGGCGCACGGGUGAGUAACGCGUGGAUAUCUGCCUUUUGGUUCGGAAUAACUCCGGGAAACUGGAGCUAAUACCGGAUGGUUCCUUCGGGAUAAAGAUUUAUCGCCAAAAGAUGGGUCCGCGUACGAUUAGGUAGUUGGUGAGGUAAUGGCUCACCAAGGCGACGAUCGUUAGCUGGUCUGAGAGGACGAUCAGCCACACUGGGACUGAGACACGGCCCAGGCUUCCUCGGGAGGCAGCAGUGGGGAAUAUUGGACAAUGGGGGAAAGUCUGAUCCAGCCAUGCCGCGUGAGUGAUGAAGGCCUUCGGGUUGUAAAGCUCUUUUGGCGGGGACGAUGAUGACGGUACCCGAAGGAUAAGCCCCGGCUAACUUCGUGCCAGCCGCCGCAGUAAGAC
rnacentral:rRNA from 1 species